rnacentral:rRNA from 1 species
GACAGAGGCCCCAAGCGUUAGGCGGAAUCACUGGGCUUAAAGCGUGUGUAGGCGGAUCGUUAAGUGUCUUGUGAAAUCCCACGGCUCACCCGUGGAACGGCUGGGCAUACUGGCGAUCUUGGGCCAACUAGGGGCAGUCGGAACAAGCGGUGGAGCGGUGAAAUGCGUAGAUAUCGCUUGGAACGCCGAAGGUGAAAACAGGUUGCUGGGGAUGUGCCGACGCUGAGACACGAAAGCCAGGGGAGCAAACGGG